UGAAAAAAAUGUAGGGCAGAUGGUGCAGAAAUUCACUUUUUCACGAGUAUUUGGACCUGAAACAACUCAGGAAGAGUUCUUUGACGGUACUGUGAAACAACCAGUACAAGACUUCUUGGAGGGACACAAUCGUCUUAUUUUCACUUAUGGUGUGACAAAUGCUGGAAAAACCUACACUUUCCAAGGGACAGAAGCUGACAUUGGUAUUCUGCCAAGAACUAUGGAUAUGUUGUUUAAAAGCAUUCAUGGCAAACUGUAUCCAGAUAUGGAUUUCAAACCCCUUCGAUGUAAAGAUUAUAUAAGGCUGACUAAAGAA